AUUGAACGCUGGCGGCAGGCCUAACACAUGCAAGUCGAGCGGAUGAAGGGAGCUUGCUCCUGGCUUCAGCGGCGGACGGGCGAGUAAUGCCUAGGAAUCUGCCUGGUAGUGGGGGAUAACGUCCGGAAACGGGCGCUAAUACCGCAUCCGUCCUGAGGUAGAAAGUGGGGGAUCUUCGGACCUCACGCUAUCAGAUGAGCCUAGGUCGGAUUAGCUAGUUGGUGGGGUAAAGGCCUACCAAGGCGACGAUCCGUAACUGGUCUGAGAGGAUGAUCAGUCACACUGGAACUGAGACACGGUCCAGACUCCUACGGGAGGCAGCAGUGGGGAAUAUUGGGCAAUGGGCGAAAGCCUGAUCCAGCCAUGCCGCGUGUGUGAAGAAGGUCUUCGGAUUGUAAAGCACUUUAAGUUGGGAGGAAGGGCAGUAAGUUAAUACCUUGCUGUUUUGACGUUACCAACAGAAUAAGCACCGGCUAACUUCGUG
rnacentral:rRNA from 1 species